AAUAUGUAUUUUUUUAACCAGAAAUGAUUCAGAACAUUAAGAUCUUUCCUGUGCCUUGUUUUCCAUUUUGAAUUAAAUAUAUUAUUUUUCAAAAAUGAAUCAAUACCUUCAUUAACAUUUAUAUCAACCUUUUUUUUUUUUUUUUUUUUUUUUUUUUUUUUGUGGAGGAAGGAAAAUGCUCUGAAGAUUUGGAACAGCUCAGCCUCCAAAGUGCAGGCAUGGGGUCCCACUGUGUUGCCCAGGCCGGUCUUGAACUCCUAGGCUCAAUCAAUCCUCCCAUCUCAACGUCCCCACAAGUGCUGGAAUUAUAGAUGUGAGUCACCGCGUCUGGCUGCAAACUUUUGGAUAUUUUUCUUAAAAUAAAAACUUUUCUAACAUAUACUUGUUUUGUGAUGUCAAGAUGGUCCAGGGGAUCUUAACAAAUAAUAAAGAAGUCUUUCAUGAUAUAAGGAUCAAGACUUAGGUUCUAAUAUCAGUUUUAUUGCACAAUUAUUGUGUAGUAUUGGAAAAGUCCAGUCAUCUUUCUAAUCAUUUAUUAUGGGGCUUAAGUGCAAAUAUGCUUAAAAGGUUCUUUUAAAUCAUAAAGCAUUAUGCAAUUGUGACGUAUUUUCUCCAAACAGCCACCUAAAUGAAAGUGGUGGGUUUUCAAUUAUCUGAGGCAUAAGCCAUGAAUCUAUGUACUUUGACUACACAUAAGUAAUGGAGAUUAGCCUUGUGGUUGCUUAUUAGAUUGAAAUGCUUUUGCAUACAUAUUCAUAUAGAAUACUUACAAAUCAAAACAGUCAACUUUAUUAUUUAUAUAGUGAUGACAAUGAUGAUAAUAGGUAACACUAAUUAAGCCCUCCGUAUACAUCAUGCCUGGUGCUAAGCAGUUUCCAUAUGCUAUCUAACUCAACAGUUGAAACGAUCCUAUAUUAUAAAGAGGAAACAGAUAAAGCCAGGAUUAUAGAUUGAGGCAAUCCAACUCCUCUCUUAGCCAUUAUACUUUUAUGCCUUCCAAUACUCUUAACAAUCUGCUGUCUGUCAACUUUUUAUUUCUGGCAGACCAUUCUUCAGAAUAAAUGCAAGACAAAUACUCCAGAGAGGCUUCUGGAAGCUACAGACUCCAGAUAGUCUCAUGAUCCAUUGAGUAAUCUGGUUAAAUGGAGAGUAAACAUUAGGAUUAUGAAAACACAGAAGGACAGAACGUAAUGGAGAAAACCUGCUUGAUUUCCAUAACAGAAAAUCAUGCUAUACUAGAGUUUGGGAUAAGUAGAAAGUAGAUACAAAAGUGGGAGCCUUAGAGAAAAGAACUUUAAACUUAAAGAAAACCCCAACUUUGAAAGUUUUUAAACCAAGAAGUAUUUUGAUUACAGUCAACAUAGCAUUGUAGGACAUAUAAUAUAAGAGCUUAGAGAUGAGUAGGAGGAGCUGAUGGGGAAUUUUGUAGGCAAUAUGAGCACUCUGUAAUUGUAAUUGACAACUUGUCAAUUACCCAAGGUCUUCCAUAACCCUUAUGCCAUCUGGUAAUCACAGUAUUCUGGUAAGGAAAAUAGAAUAGAUUCUAUUAUCCCAUUUUAGAGAUAUCUUAAUUGUUAAUGGCAGAAUCUUCUUAAAAUUGGCCUUGAGAUUGGCCUAAAUUAUCAUUUUAACAAAUUAUAUUUGAAGAGAAAGUACAUGAGUACAUUGGUCCCAACCCACAUUUAAAACCCCCGCAUCCAUCAUGACUUUAUUCACAUUACAUUCUAGCUAGACAGAAUUACUCCCCAGGCAGUUAUACCACUGCUUUGUUUUUUUUUUUUUUGAAACAGGAUCUCUUUCUGUUGCCCAGGCUGGAGUGCAAUGGCACAAUUAUAGCUCACCAUAGCAUCAAAUUCUUUGUCUCAAGCGAUCCUCCUGCCUCAGCCUACUAAAUAUGUAGGACUACAGGCAAGUGCCACCAUACCCAGCUAGUUUUAGAGGGGGUUUUACUAUGUUGUCCAGGCUUGUCUUGAACUCCUGGGCUCAACAAAUCCCCCUGCAUCAGCCUCCCAAAGUGCUGGGAUUACAAGUGUGAGCCAUUGCGCCUGGCCUCUACUCUUUUUUUUUUUUUCUACCAUAGAAGUCCAUCCCAACAACUUAUCUCUAUUGGAAUUGGCUUUUCAAAUCACAUCUAUAUUUCUCCCCCUAAAAUCUCCUUACUUCUUGAU
ensembl:lncRNA